CAUAACAAAAAAUCAACAAUAAAUUAACAAAAUUACAACAUAAAAAGAACGUAUUUUAUGUAAAUAAAAUCAAAAAAAUCGUAAAAAUAUUUAAAAUUCCGUGAAACUGUAUUUUUGUAAUUUUUUUGUUGUUUUUAUGUUUUUGUGAAAUAAUCCCAAAAGAUAGGGAAAUUUACAUAAUAUACUUAUUUUUGCUAUUUUUUUUACAUAUAUACUGUGAAGCGGUAAUAUUUAUAUUUUUACUGUGUAUAUUAUUUAAUUUUAUACGACAUGCUUUUUCUUUUUUUUUGACAGUAUAUGGCAGCUUUUUUUUAAACUUAUAUAUAUAUAUUUUAUAGUGACAAAAGCUGUCACUUUUAAUUGAGUUUCAUUUUACUUUUUGAUGAAAGUGAGUCACACUCUAUGAAAUUGACAACACACCAACUCCUAUCACACCUAUUAUUAUAUCAGCCAUUGGUCCAUGUCGUCCCUACUCAUCACAUUCACAACCACAAACAAAUUUAACUUUCAGACCAAAUAUUUUAUCAAACACUUUUCCUUCUAAACUAUUUGCAUAACAAGAACAACAUGAAGUACCUGUUCUUUUUAGAAGAUGGGUGGACUCAUAUGAUGAACACGAAGAUAAGGUGUCAUGUAAUAGUAAUUGCUCUUCUUCUGUUCUUCUUCUUCUUCUUCUUCUUCUUCUUCAUGGGUCCUUUUCUUUUGUUUUUCUUUUUUUUUUUCAAAAUCCAUACACUUAUCAUCUUUUUUCUCACUAUCUUCCUCCUUAAGUUCUCUUACUCUCUCCAUUAACAUAUAAAUUUUUUAUUUUAUUUCUUGUUCAGUUCUUCUUCUUCAUCUUCUUCUCAUUUUUUUUUAGUUUUUUUAAUUUUUAGUCACACUUUUGGGGGAAAUAAAAGAGUGCUUUUUUUAUUUUGAUUUUCUAGAUCUGUUCAUGCAAAUAUAGGUUCUGGUACUUCAAAGAACACUAAAUCAAAAAUACCCUCAAUCUGUGUUGGAGAACUCCGACUCUGAUUUUGAGUUUGAGACAAAGUUCCAAAGUCUCCCAAAUCUGAUAAGGGAAAGGGUAAACACCAAGUGAAGAUUGUUCAAUCAACUGAUUUGUUUGAAGACAUAAUUAGGAAAAGGGUUGUCGAGGAUUGGGAAUCCAAGUACACCCGAUCGGAAUACUACCAUUCCAGAAUUUUUUUUAUGGUUGUUUUUUAUGUUCUUUAUUUUUUUGUUGUUGUUUUAGUAGUGUUUUCUUAUGUUUUUUUUAUAGGAUUGUCACAUUCUCUUGAAAUAAUUAUGUUCUUUUUCCCAUUGUCCAUUGCUCUUUAUGAGAACUAGUAUAGAUUCCAUGUCAUGUCAUUUUUUACAAUAUUUCAUUUAUGUGGCCUAUUUUUUAUAUUAAAACAACAGUAAAAUAACACUACAAAACAGUAAUUUGUUGUUGAUUUAGUAAUUUUUUCUCUUUGCCAGAUUUUAUGGUUUUUUCCUGGUGUUUCUAUGAUUCUGGUGUUGAUUUGUCCAUCCCCAACCAUGAAGGAGAGGUGCCGUUUGUGUUUUGUUACUGUUUACAGUAUAAAAGUAAAUAUAUUGGGCAUGGACAGUAUAAAAGAAAUAAAAAUGGGCUUGGACAGUAAAAAUGUAAAGUUUGUCGUGUCCCAGUAUUUUUGAAAAUAUUUAGUAAAAAAUAGUAUUUUUG